AUCGCCUGUGACGAGGACACCGAGGACGCGAGCGGGGCCACCAGCACUGCAGGUAGCAGCUGCCGGCACGGGGGUGCUUGCCCAGGUGGCUCUGCCCGUGCCCACUGCCCACUGCCCCUGCUGCCGUGCGGAUCCCGGCCUCACGCUGCCCCUCGCCAUCCCUGCAGGUGCCAGCAGCAGCAGCAGCGUUGCCCCACUGACAGCAGUGUCGGGGAGCGUGCCGGUGCCCACGGUCCUGUGCGUGCUCCUGGGGACGUUGCUGGGCCUGGCCCUGGCAGCCCUGGCUGUGCAGGCACACCGCGCACGGCUGCAACGCCGAGACCCCGUGAAAGCCACGGAUGUUGGCGCUGAGGCCGUGUACGAGGAGCUGGAUUACAGCCUGAUGCCCGAGUACCAGGAGGUGCCCCGCCACACAGGUGGGAGCACGGUCGUCCCCAGGGCCUGGGGCUGUCCCCAUCCCUUGCCCAACACUCAGCAGCCCCUUCUCCACUGCAGGCUCCCUGUCCGAGGGCUCGGGAAUGAAGCUGCAGGACAACAACUGGGAUGGUGAAAAGGAGGAGAGCAACCCCAGAGAGGCCCCAGGUAGGGCAAGGGGCAAUCAGUAGGGACUGCAAGGCACAGGGGACCCAAGGAGAGGGGCUAUGACGGAGCAGUGGUGCUGGGGAGAUGAGGGCACACAGCCCUUGCGGCUGCGUCCUCAGCCCCGGCCCCUCCUUGCCUGGUGCAGCCGCCCCAGCCCAGCCCGGGCACGGCCCCCCGGAUGGCUACGACGAUGCUGCGGCCGUGCCGGAGGAGCCCCCCGCUCCACACGGUGGGGACACCCCGGCGCAGCCCUGCGGGGACACGGGCUAUGACGACAUUGACAUGGGCACCCUGGGGACAGCGCCGUGAGGAGGCCCUGGGGACAUGGCUGCAGGAGGGGGCUCCAGCCCCAGGGAGGGCUGGCCCUGCCCAUGGGGUCACCCG
rnacentral:lncRNA from 1 species